rnacentral:rRNA from 1 species
GAUGAACGCUGGCGGCGUGCCUAAUACAUGCAAGUCGAGCGAACGGACGAUAAGCUUUCUUCUCUGAUGUUAGCGGCGGACGGGUGAGUAACACGUGGAUAACCUACCUAUAAGACUGGGAUAACUUCGGGAAACCGGAGCUAAUACUGGAUAAUAUUUUGUACCGCAUGGUUCAAAAGUGAAAGACGGUCUUGCUGUCACUUAUAGAUGGAUCCGCGCUGCAUUAGCUAGUUGGUAAGGUAACGGCUUACCAAGGCAACGAUGCAUAGCCGACCUGAGAGGAUGAUCGGCCACACUGGAACUGAGACACGGUCCAGACUCCUACGGGAGGCAGCAGUAGGGAAUAUUCCGCAAUGGGCGAAAGCCUGACGGAGCAACGCCGCGUGAGUGAUGAAGGUCUUCGGAUCGUAAAACUCUGUUAUUAGGGAAGAACAUAUGUGUAAGUAACUGUGCACAUCUUGACGGUACCUAAUCAGAAAGCCACGGCUAACUACGUG